rnacentral:lncRNA from 1 species
CAAGCCCUGAAGUGCCUCCAGUCGCAUGAAAUCUCAGAUCCAUUCCUGCUCUAGGUGCCAUCGUUCCUGGAACUUGCAUUCUUCCUGAGUCAUCAUUCAGAACUCUGUCUUUGUACAGUACUAAGGACCAGGCUUUGCUCUUGCCAGAAGUUGACAAGCUGGUCCUAAAUUCAUUCAAGGGACCCAGAAGAGUCAAAACAGUCUUGAAAAAGAAGAACAAAGUUGAAGGACUCGAACAUACUCUUUUAAAAACUUACUACAAAACUACAGUAAUCAAGACAGCUUGGUAUUGGCAUAAAGAUAAACAUAUAGCUGACGAUCUCUAUUUCUUUCCUGACGAGCUGAAGAUUCAAAUAGAGAUGACCAUUAGAAUCUGGGUAAUAUUGCUCAUGUUUAUUUCUGCAGGACUUUAUUUAGUUUGUCUCUAACUCCUGUGGGCUCCUAAGAGCUAUGCAACAGAGAGUUAAGAAAAUGGGUUUUGGAGCUAGAUAAUCUGGGGUCAGAUCCUAAGCCUGUCUCUUUUGGGCAAGUUCCUUAAGGUCUAUUACCAUUUUCUCGUCUGUAAAGUGGAUUUGAUAAUAACAUCUACCUUAGAGCAUUGUUGGAAGAAUUAAAUGAACAAUACUUCUAUAGAACAGUGUCUGCCACAAGAUAAUAAAUGUCAGUUCUUAUCACAGCACCAUGAGCUGAUAUCUAUUACAAUGUGUAAGACUCUGACUUGUAAAUUUCAUUUAGAUGCUUUUAU